AGCCAAUCUAGAAACUUGUAUAGUUCAAUUUCUCCUGUAAAAUCUUCAUCAGCAGCAUGUUCAGAAGGGUAUUGUUGAUACUUGAUGGUCAUGUGUGCUCUAUGAAUUGGAUCAGCCACUAUGAUAGAACAUUAUGACAUACCGAAGGCUUUGAUACCAAACUGAUGUAGGAUAGUGGAUGAAGGGUAUGUAUAAGGGUUUAGUCGAGAAGGUCCAUUAAUU
rnacentral:lncRNA from 1 species